UACAGAGGUCCCGAGCGUUGUUCGGAUUCACUGGGCGUAAAGGGUGCGCAGGUGGGUUGGCAAGUUUGAUGUGAAAGCCCCGGGCUUAACCCGGGAAUGGCAUUGAAUACUGUUGAUCUGGAGGAUCGGAGGGGGGACUGGAAUUCUUGGUGUAGCAGUGAAAUGCGUAGAUAUCAAGAGGAACACCAGUGGCGAAGGCGAGUCCCUGGACGAUACCUGACACUGAGGCACGAAAGCCAGGGGAGCAAACAGGAUUAGAUACCCCCGUAGUCC
rnacentral:rRNA from 1 species